UCGAGGGGCAGCAUGAACUUAGCUUGCUAAGUUUGAUGGCGACCGGCGCACGGGUGAGUAACACGUAUCCAACCUGCCGAUGACUCGGGGAUAGCCUUUCGAAAGAAAGAUUAAUACCCGAUGGCAUAGUUCUUCCGCAUGGUAGAACUAUUAAAGAAUUUCGGUCAUCGAUGGGGAUGCGUUCCAUUAGGUUGUUGGCGGGGUAACGGCCCACCAAGCCUUCGAUGGAUAGGGGUUCUGAGAGGAAGGUCCCCCACAUUGGAACUGAGACACGGUCCAAACUCCUACGGGAGGCAGCAGUGAGGAAUAUUGGUCAAUGGACGAGAGUCUGAACCAGCCAAGUAGCGUGAAGGAUGACUGCCCUAUGGGUUGUAAACUUCUUUUAUACGGGAAUAAAGUGAGGCACGUGUGCCUUUUUGUAUGUACCGUAUGAAUAAGGAUCGGCUAACUCCGUGCCAGCAGCCGCGGUAAUACGGAGGAUCCGAGCGUUAUCCGGAUUUAUUGGGUUUAAAGGGAGCGUAGGCGGACGCUUAAGUCAGUUGUGAAAGUUUGCGGCUCAACCGUAAAAUUGCAGUUGAUACUGGGUGUCUUGAGUACAGUAGAGGCAGGCGGAAUUCGUGGUGUAGCGGUGAAAUGCUUAGAUAUCACGAAGAACUCCGAUUGCGAAGGCA
rnacentral:rRNA from 1 species